GAUGAACGCUGGCGGCGUGCUUAAUACAUGCAAGUCGAGCGAAGCGCUUUAACGGAAUUCUUCGGAAGGAAGAUAAAGUGACUGAGCGGCGGACGGGUGAGUAACGCGUGGGUAACCUGCCUCAUACAGGGGGAUAACAGUUAGAAAUGGCUGCUAAUACCGCAUAAGCGCACAGGACCGCAUGGUCUGGUGUGAAAAACUCCGGUGGUAUGGGAUGGACCCGCGUUGGAUUAGGUAGUUGGUGGGGUAACGGCCUACCAAGCCGACGAUCCAUAGCCGGCCUGAGAGGGUGGACGGCCACAUUGGGACUGAGACACGGCCCAGACUCCUACGGGAGGCAGCAGUAGGGAAUAUUGCACAAUGGGGGAAACCCUGAUGCAGCGACGCCGCGUGAAGGAAGAAGUAUCUCGGUAUGUAAACUUCUAUCAGCAGGGAAGACAAUGACGGUACCUGACUAAGAAGC
rnacentral:rRNA from 1 species